rfam:Gossypium hirsutum cultivar TM-1 chromosome 16, whole genome shotgun sequence
UAUUAAAAAUCUCAUCAAUUUCUAUCGUUAAAAAUUGGCAUUGCUAACAGAAUAACCAAAUAGUUAUACGUGACAUGAAACAUGUGCCUCAUUUUGGCAUACAAGGAUCAAUUUUUAACAAUGAAAAUGGAUGAAAUUUUUAAAA